rnacentral:tRNA from 1 species
GGAAGCGUGCCCGAAAGUUAAGGAUCUCCUUGAUAGGGAGACCUAUAGGGGUUCAAACCCCCUCACUUCCU